rnacentral:rRNA from 1 species
ACGGGAGGCAGCAGUAAGGGAUAUUGGGCAAUGGGGGGAACCCUGACCCAGCCAUGCCGCGUGAGGGAAUGAGGCCCUACGGGUCGUGAACCUCUUUUGCCUGGGGAUAACCCCUCCCGCGCGACGGGGGGCUGCAGGUACCAGGCGAAUAAGCAUCGGCUAACUCCGUGCCAGCAGCCGCGGUAAUACGGAGGAUGCGAGCGUUAUCCGGAUUCAUUGGGUUUAAAGGGAGCGUAGGCGGCCUUUUAAGUCAGCGGUCAAAUGUCAGCGCCCAACGCUGGCCUGCCGUUGAUACUGAUGGGCUUGAAUACACACAAGGAAGGUGGAAUUCGUCGUGUAGCGGUGAAAUGCUUAGAUAUGACGAAGAACUCCGAUUGCGAAGGCAGCCUUCUGGAGUGCGAUUGACGCUGAGGCUCGAAAGCGCGGGUAUCAAACAGGAUUAGAUACCCUGGUA